rnacentral:misc_RNA from 1 species
GGAAAAAAUAUCUCAAGGAGAGAAUAUGAACAGAGCCUCUAUCACCGUCAGCUCUAUCUCGUCCUUGCUUUCUAUGCUCAUGCUUAUAGAUUCGUAUAAGUUGAUGAUUUUAUGUCAAAAUGUUUAUAAUUUUAGAUUUUGAAAUGGGUAGGGAUAAAGUCAUGUAUAAGGGGCUGUUGAUGGUUACUAGAGAUUAAUAGUACUUGUGGGAGGCUUCAUUUUGCUUUAAUUUGUGUUUCGAUGUUCGAAAUUUGUGUUUGUGAGGGUAGGUAGCUCUGUGGGUGUUGAAUGAGAGGAAACCUUAGCUUUAAUUGCUAAAUUUGUUUAGGCAUGGUGUAUUUGAUUGUUGUGUUUGAU